rnacentral:rRNA from 1 species
AGUGAACGCUGGCGGUAGGCCUAACACAUGCAAGUCGAACGGCAGCACAGUAAGAGCUUGCUCUUACGGGUGGCGAGUGGCGGACGGGUGAGGAAUACAUCGGAAUCUACUUUUUCGUGGGGGAUAACGUAGGGAAACUUACGCUAAUACCGCAUACGACCUACGGGUGAAAGCAUGGGAUCUUCGGACCUUGCGCGAUUGAAUGAGCCGAUGUCGGAUUAGCUAGUUGGCGGGGUAAAGGCCCACCAAUGCGACGAUCCGUAGCUGGUCUGAGAGGAUGAUCAGCCACACUGGAACUGAGACACGGUCCAGACUCCUACGGGAGGCAGCAGUGGGGAAUAUUGGACAAUGGGCGCAAGCCUGAUCCAGCCAUACCGCGUGGGUGAAGAAGGCCUUCGGGUUGUAAAGCCCUUUUGUUGGGAAAGAAAAGCAGCAGGUUAAUACCCCGCUGUUCUGACGGUACCCAAAGAAUAAGCACCGGCUAACUUCGUG